AUUGAACGCUGGCGGCAUGCCUUACACAUGCAAGUCGAACGGUAACAGGUCUUCGGAUGCUGACGAGUGGCGAACGGGUGAGUAAUACAUCGGAACGUGCCUAGUAGUGGGGGAUAACUACUCGAAAGAGUGGCUAAUACCGCAUGAGAUCUACGGAUGAAAGCAGGGGAUCGCAAGAACUUGUGCUACUAGAGCGGCCGAUGGCAGAUUAGGUAGUUGGUGUGAUAAAAGCUUACCAAGCCGACGAUCUGUAGCUGGUCUGAGAGGACGAUCAGCCACACGGGGACUGAGACACGGCCCAGACUCCUACGGGAGGCAGCAGUGGGGAAUUUUGGACAAUGGGCGCAAGCCUGAUCCAGCAAUGCCGCGUGCAGGAUGAAGGCCUUCGGGUUGUAAACUGCUUUUGUACGGAACGAAAAGCCCUGGGUUAAUACCCUGGGGUCAUGACGGUACCGUAAGAAUAAGCACCGGCUAACUACGUGCCAGCAGCCGCCGUAAGAC
rnacentral:rRNA from 1 species